CCUACGGGAGACAGCAGUGAGGAAUAUUGGUCAAUGGACGAGAGUCUGAACCAGCCAAGUAGCGUGAAGGAUGACUGCCCUAUGGGUUGUAAACUUCUUUUAUAUGGGAAUAAAAUGUUCCACGUGUGGGAUUUUGUAUGUACCAUAUGAAUAAGGAUUGGCUAACUCCGUGCCAGCAGCCGCGGUAAUACGGAGGAUCCGAGCGUUAUCCGGAUUUAUUGGGUUUAAAGGGAGCGUAGGUGGAUUGUUAAGUCAGUUGUGAAAGUUUGCGGCUCAACCGUAAAAUUGCAGUUGAAACUGGCAGUCUUGAGUACAGUAGAGGCGGGCGGAAUUCGUGGUGUAGCGGUGAAAUGCUUAGAUAUCACGAAGAACUCCGAUUGCGAAGGCAGUUCACUGGACUGCAACUGACACUGAGGCUCGAAAGUGUGGGUAUCAAACAGGAUUAGAUACCCGUGUAGUC
rnacentral:rRNA from 1 species